rnacentral:rRNA from 1 species
UGGGGAAUAUUGCACAAUGGGCGCAAGCCUGAUGCAGCCAUGCCGCGUGUGUGAAGAAGGCCUUCGGGUUGUAAAGCACUUUCAGCGGGGAGGAAGGCGUUAAGGUUAAUAACCUUGGCGAUUGACGUUACCCGCAGAAGAAGCACCGGCUAACUCCGUGCCAGCAGCCGCGGUAAUACGGAGGGUGCAAGCGUUAAUCGGAAUUACUGGGCGUAAAGCGCACGCAGGCGGUUUGUUAAGUCAGAUGUGAAAUCCCCGGGCUCAACCUGGGAACUGCAUCUGAUACUGGCAAGCUUGAGUCUCGUAGAGGGGGGUAGAAUUCCAUGUGUAGCGGUGAAAUGCGUAGAGAUGUGGAGGAAUACCGGUGGCGAAGGCGGCCCCCUGGACAAAGACUGACGCUCAGGUGCGAAAGCGUGGGGAGCAAACAGG